rnacentral:rRNA from 1 species
UACGUAGGGCGCAAGCGUUGUCCGGAAUUAUUGGGCGUAAAGAGCUCGUAGGCGGCCUGUUGCGUCCGCUGUGAAAUCCCGGGGCUCAACCCCGGGCGUGCAGUGGAUACGGGCUGGCUGGAGGCAGGCAGGGGAGAACGGAAUUCCUGGUGUAGCGGUGAAAUGCGCAGAUAUCAGGAGGAACACCGGUGGCGAAGGCGGUGGUCUGGGCCGGUACUGACGCUGAGGAGCGAAAGCGUGGGGAGCGAACAGG